AGGGUUUGAUUAUGGCUCAGAACGUACGCUGGCGGCACGCCUAACACAUGCAAGUCGAACGAAGUAGCAAUACUUAGUGGCAGACGGGUGAGUAACAUGUAGGUAUCUGCCCUUUGGCCUGGAAUAACACGAGGAAACUUGUGCUAAUACCGGAUAAGUCUUUACGGAGAAAGCUUUAUGCACCAUUGGAUGAGCCUGCACUUGAUUAGUUUGUUGGUGGGGUAAUGGCCUACCAAGACUGUGAUCAAUAGCUGAUUUGAGAGGAUGAUCAGCCACAUUGGGACUGAGACACGGCCCAAACUCCUACGGGAGGCAGCAGUGGGGAAUCUUGCACAAUGGAGGAAACUCUGAUGCAGCGAUGCCGCGUGAGUGAAGAAGGCCCUUGGGUUGUAAAGCUCUUUCGUCGGGGAAGAAAAUGACUGUACCCGAAUAAGAAGGUCCGGCUAACUUCGUGCCAGCAGCCGCGGUAAUACGAAGGGACCUAGCGUAGUUCGGAAUUACUGGGCUUAAAGAGUUCGUAGGUGGUUGAAAAAGUUAGUGGUGAAAUCCCAGAGCUUAACUCUGGAACUGCCAUUAAAACUUUUCAGCUAGAGUAUGAUAGAGGAAAGCAGAAUUUCUAGUGUAGAGGUGAAAUUCGUAGAUAUUAGAAAGAAUACCAAUUGCGAAGGCAGCUUUCUGGAUCAUUACUGACACUGAGGAACGAAAGCAUGGGUAGCGAAGAGGAUUAGAUACCCUCGUAGUCCAUGCCGUAAACGAUGUGUGUUAGACGUUGGAAAUUUAUUUUCAGUGUCGCAGGGAAACCGAUAAACACACCGCCUGGGGAGUACGACCGCAAGGUUAAAACUCAAAUGAAUUGACGGGGACCCGCACAAGUAGUGGAGCAUGUGGUUUAAUUCGAAGAUACGCGCAGAACCUUACCAACACUUGACAUGUUCGUCGCGACUCUAAGAGAUUAGAGUUUUCGGUUCGGCCGGACGAAACACAGGUGCUGCAUGGCUGUCGUCAGCUCGUGUCGUGAGAUGUUGGGUUAAGUCCCGCAACGAGCGCAACCCUCACUUUUAGUUGCCAUCAUUAAGUUGGGCACUCUGAAAGAACUGCCAGUGAUAAGCUGGAGGAAGGUGGGGAUGACGUCAAGUCCUCAUGGCCCUUACGUGUUGGGCUACACACGUGCUACAAUGGUAUCUACAACAGGAAGCAAGACUGCGAAGUUAAGCAAAUCCCUAAAAGAUACCUCAGUUCGGAUUGCACUCUGCAACUCGAGUGCAUGAAGCUGGAAUUACUAGUAAUCGUGGAUCAGCGUGCCACGGUGAAUGCGUUCCCGGGUCUUGUACACACCGCCCGUCACACCAUGGGAGUUGGUUCUACCUUAAGGCAAGGUUUCAAACCCUUGACCACGGUAUAGUCAGCGACUGGGGUGAAGUCGUAACAAGGUAGCC
rnacentral:rRNA from 1 species